GAAUAAGGGCGCACGGUGGAUGCCUUGGCACUAGGAGCCGAUGAAGGACGGGACUAACACCGAUAUGCUUUGGGGAGCUGUACGUAAGCUAUGAUCCAGAGAUUUCCGAAUGGGGGAACCCAGCAUCUUUAAUAGGAUGUUACGAUUGUGUGAAUACAUAGCACAUUCGAGGUAGACGCAGAGAACUGAAACAUCUAAGUACCUGCAGGAAGAGAAAGAAAAUUCGAUUCCCUGAGUAGCGGCGAGCGAAACGGGAAAAGCCCAAACCAACAAGCUUGCUUGUUGGGGUUGUAGGACUCCGAUAUGGUCGUUCUUUCAGAUAGUCGAAUGACUUGGAAAAGUCAGUCAAAGAGGGUAAAAACCCCGUAGACGAAAUGUGGAAGACACCUAGGAGGAUCCUGAGUACGGCGGAACACGAGAAAUUCCGUCGGAAUCCGGGAGGACCAUCUCCCAAGGCUAAAUACUCCCUAGUGACCGAUAGUGAACCAGUACCGUGAGGGAAAGGUGAAAAGCACCCCGGAAGGGGAGUGAAAUAGAACCUGAAACCGUGUGCCUACAACAAGUCAAAGCCCGUUAAUGGGUGAUGGCGUGCCUUUUGUAGAAUGAACCGGCGAGUUACGAUUGCAUGCGAGGUUAAGUUGAAGAGACGGAGCCGCAGCGAAAGCGAGUCUGAAUAGGGCGUUUGAGUAUGUAGUCGUAGACCCGAAACCAUGUGAUCUACCCAUGUCCAGGUUGAAGGUGCGGUAAAACGCACUGGAGGACCGAACCCACGUACGUUGAAAAGUGCGGGGAUGAGGUGUGGGUAGCGGAGAAAUUCCAAACGAACUUGGAGAUAGCUGGUUCUCUCCGAAAUAGCUUUAGGGCUAGCCUCGGAAUUGAGAAUGAUGGAGGUAGAGCACUGUUUGGACUAGGGGCCCAUCUCGGGUUACCGAAUUCAGAUAAACUCCGAAUGC
rnacentral:rRNA from 1 species